AUUGAACGCUGGCGGCAGGCCUAACACAUGCAAGUCGAGCGGCAGCGGAAAGUAGCUUGCUACUUUGCCGGCGAGCGGCGGACGGGUGAGUAAUGUCUGGGAAACUGCCUGAUGGAGGGGGAUAACUACUGGAAACGGUAGCUAAUACCGCAUAACGUCGCAAGACCAAAGAGGGGGACCUUCGGGCCUCUUGCCAUCAGAUGUGCCCAGAUGGGAUUAGCUAGUAGGUGGGGUAACGGCUCACCUAGGCGACGAUCCCUAGCUGGUCUGAGAGGAUGACCAGCCACACUGGAACUGAGACACGGUCCAGACUCCUACGGGAGGCAGCAGUGGGGAAUAUUGCACAAUGGGCGCAAGCCUGAUGCAGCCAUGCCGCGUGUAUGAAGAAGGCCUUCGGGUUGUAAAGUACUUUCAGCGGGGAGGAAGGUGUUGAGGUUAAUAACCUCAGCAAUUGACAUUACCCGCAGAAGAAGCACCGGCUAACUCCGUG
rnacentral:rRNA from 1 species